GUCAAGGGGUGCUGCCUCGAUGGUGGCUGAGAUCAUACCCUUCAGAACCUGAUGCGGGUAAUGCCGACGUAGGAAUGGAUAGU
rnacentral:ncRNA from 1 species